GCUGUCAAUCCAGUUCGAUGUUCGAUUUCGAUUGCUUUACUUGAAUUUCGUAGACAUAGAAUGGACUGCAGUUUUAUGUUUAAAUCCUAAUAAUAAAGCUAUUAAUAUGUUUACGCGUUCAAGACUAUUUCUUUCCAAAGUGCUGCCUUUAAGAAAUGCAUUUAAAACAGAAUACCAGAACGAAGCGAAGUUCUUAUACAGUGUUACUAAUACGCGACAUCGAUCCACGUCCCCUCUCAAUACAAUAGUGAUGUUUGUGCCGCAGCAGGAGGCUUGGAUAGUAGAGAGAAUGGGCAAAUUCCACAGGAUACUAGAGCCAGGUCUGAACCUGCUGUGGCCGAUAGUGGAUAAGAUCAAGUACGUGCAGAGCCUGAAGGAAAUCGCGAUAGAUGUGCCAAAACAGAGUGCCAUCACGUCAGACAAUGUCACACUCAGCAUCGACGGUGUGCUGUACCUGAGGAUCAUUGAUCCAUAUCUAGCUUCAUAUGGUGUAGAAGACCCCGAAUUUGCCAUAACACAGCUGGCUCAGACAACGAUGCGUUCCGAGUUGGGUCAGAUAUCCCUGGACAAGGUCUUCCGAGAGAGAGAAUCCCUGAAUGUGUCUAUAGUACAUGCCAUCAAUAAGGCCAGUGAAGCGUGGGGAAUUACGUGCUUAAGAUACGAGAUUCGUGACAUAAAGUUGCCGUCGCGCGUCCACGAGGCCAUGCAGAUGCAAGUGGAGGCGGAGCGUCGCAAGCGGGCGGCCAUCUUGGAAUCCGAGGGAGUUCGCGCCGCCGACAUCAACGUCGCCGAGGGCAAGCGGCAGGCGAGGAUACUUGCUUCUGAGGCGGAGAAGCAGGAACAGAUCAACAAGGCGUCGGGAGAGGCGCAGGCCAUGCUCGCGGUGGCCGAGGCGCGCGCCAAGGGGCUGCGGCUCGUAGGCCACGCGCUAGGGCAAAAGGACUCCCGUCACGCGGCGUCCCUCACCCUGGCCGAGCAGUACGUGGCCGCGUUCAACAAGCUCGCGCGCACCAACAACACGCUCAUCCUGCCCGCCAACGCGGGGGACGUCCCCAAUUUAGUCGCGCAGGUAACUUGCAGGACUCCCGUCACGCGGCGUCCCUCACCCUGGCCGAGCAGUACGUGGCCGCGUUCAACAAGCUCGCGCGCACCAACAACACGCUCAUCCUGCCCGCCAACGCGGGGGACGUCCCCAAUUUAGUCGCGCAGGUAACUUGCAGGACUCCCGUCACGCGGCGUCCCUCACCCUGGCCGAGCAGUACGUGGCCGCGUUCAACAAGCUCGCGCGCACCAACAACACGCUCAUCCUGCCCGCCAACGCGGGGGACGUCCCCAAUUUAGUCGCGCAGGUAACUUGCAGGACUCCCGUCACGCGGCGUCACUCACCCUGGCCGAGCAGUACGUGGCCGCGUUCAACAAGCUCGCGCGCACCAACAACACGCUCAUCCUGCCCGCCAACGCGGGGGACGUCCCCAAUUUAGUCGCGCAGGUAACUUGCAGGACUCCCGUCACGCGGCGUCCCUCACCCUGGCCGAGCAGUACGUGGCCGCGUUCAACAAGCUCGCGCGCACCAACAACACGCUCAUCCUGCCCGCCAACGCGGGGGACGUCCCCAAUUUAGUCGCGCAGGUAACUUGCAGGACUCCCGUCACGCGGCGUCCCUCACCCUGGCCGAGCAGUACGUGGCCGCGUUCAACAAGCUCGCGCGCACCAACAACACGCUCAUCCUGCCCGCCAACGCGGGGGACGUCCCCAAUUUAGUCGCGCAGGUAACUUGCAGGACUCCCGUCACGCGGCGUCACUCACCCUGGCCGAGCAGUACGUGGCCGCGUUCAACAAGCUCGCGCGCACCAACAACACGCUCAUCCUGCCCGCCAACGCGGGGGACGUCCCCAAUUUAGUCGCGCAGGUAACUUGCAGGACUCCCGUCACGCGGCGUCACUCACCCUGGCCGAGCAGUACGUGGCCGCGUUCAACAAGCUCGCGCGCACCAACAACACGCUCAUCCUGCCCGCCAACGCGGGGGACGUCCCCAAUUUAGUCGCGCAGGUAACUUGCAGGACUCCCGUCACGCGGCGUCACUCACCCUGGCCGAGCAGUACGUGGCCGCGUUCAACAAGCUCGCGCGCACCAACAACACGCUCAUCCUGCCCGCCAACGCGGGGGACGUCCCCAAUUUAGUCGCGCAGGUAACUUGCAGGACUCCCGUCACGCGGCGUCACUCACCCUGGCCGAGCAGUACGUGGCCGCGUUCAACAAGCUCGCGCGCACCAACAACACGCUCAUCCUGCCCGCCAACGCGGGGGACGUCCCCAAUUUAGUCGCGCAGGCAAUGUCAAUAUACUCCACCGUCUCACAACACAAUCUCCAAGCGCAGCAAGCAGAUAUCGCCGAGCCGUACGACGACCCCCUACUCAAACUCCACGCUUUAACAGAAAAGGGCUCCCUCGCGGACCAACCCGUAGCGAAAGAAGAAGACAGCCUAGCGGAAUACUUCUCCGAUGACGAGGAGAGAGAGAAGGCACUACAAGCACAAAAGAAAGAGCAGAAAGAACUAAAGUUAGAAAGGGAAACAUAAUCUUAGUAGCAGUAGAUUGGCUUGUUAAUAAAUUUACGUUAAUUGAUA